rnacentral:miRNA from 1 species
UCUGAAAAUUUCAAAAUGUAUUGCAAGAACCAAACUAAAACCUUUGAUUCUCAAUGAUUCAACAUGAAGUGGCUCUGAUACCACUUGUUGUAUAAUUGAGAAUCAAAGAUUUUAGUUUGGUUCUUGCAAUACAUUUUGAAAUUUUCA